rnacentral:rRNA from 1 species
AUUGAACGCUGGCGGCAUGCCUUACACAUGCAAGUCGAACGGCAGCACGGGAGCAAUCCUGGUGGCGAGUGGCGAACGGGUGAGUAAUAUAUCGGAACGUGCCCAGUAGUGGGGGAUAACUACUCGAAAGAGUGGCUAAUACCGCAUACGACCUGAGGGUGAAAGCGGGGGAUCGCAAGACCUCGCGCUAUUGGAGCGGCCGAUAUCAGAUUAGCUAGUUGGUGGGGUAAAGGCCUACCAAGGCAACGAUCUGUAGUUGGUCUGAGAGGACGACCAGCCACACUGGGACUGAGACACGGCCCAGACUCCUACGGGAGGCAGCAGUGGGGAAUUUUGGACAAUGGGCGCAAGCCUGAUCCAGCAAUGCCGCGUGCAGGAAGAAGGCCUUCGGGUUGUAAACUGCUUUUGUCAGGGAAGAAAUCCUCUAGGUUAAUACCCUUGGGGGGAUGACGGUACCUGAAGAAUAAGCACCGGCUAACUACGUGCCAGCCGCCGCAGUAAGAC